UUACAUGUAACCCAUUCUGAAGGGUGAGAGUUGGUUCCCUGGAAGAUGUAGUAUUUGAUCCAAAGUUGACUGAGUGUGAAUUAGGUGGAUUAAACAGGAGAGACAACAAAGGAUAGUUGGGCCAAUGAUAGGGUGGAUAUUUCUUCAAUGAAAAGUUACAACGUAUAUGAAAAGAAGCAGCAUAUAUAACAUGAGAUGGGAAAUACAAGCAGUUUGCUGGUUUUGAAGCUUAGAGGGCAAUGCCAAGUGGUAAGAAAUGGUACAGUAAGCAGGGACCAGAUUAUCUAGGAAGCCUUAUGAGCUAAGGUAAAGAAUUUAUGCUGUAUGCAACAAGAAACCAUUACAGGUUUUCCAUAUGUGAGUGGUAGAGUCAAACUUAUAUUUUACGUUAUUCUAGUGGCAGUGUGGAGGAUGGAUGUGAGGGGAUAAACAGAAUUAAAGGUGACCAGUUGGAAGGCCAUUGCAGUAGUUCAAGCAAGAGAUGAAGAGAACUUGGACCAAGGCAAUGGUAGUGAGCAUGGAGAAGGAGGAACAAAUUGUUAUGAAAUUGAAGUAAAACCUGCAAGAUCUAGAACUGAGACAUAGAGGCUAUAAGGAACAGAAAAGUCAAAGUAAAAAAAAAAAGUCAAGACCUAUUAACCUCACAGGAGAGUUUUGUGCUGGAGAUAUUUCUGGAGAAACAUCUGUGUUUCAAAUACAGACAGAUAAAGAAAUUAUAAAGACUGAGGAAAAGCCUCAAAUUGCAUAAAGAGAACCAAGAGUAUCAUGGAAGCCAGGGAAGUGGAUUAUUUUGAAAAAGAAGUAUGACCAACAGUGUCAAAUACAACAGAGAAGCUCAGUAAGAGUAAAGGUGAGAACAGUUUUAGUGGAAUGAUGGAAAUAAAAGCCAGCUUGCAGUGGGUUGUGAUGGAAUGGGAAGAAAUUGGUGAUAAUGAGUGUAGACCAUUCUUUGUAGAGCUUUAGAUGCAAUGUGAGAAGAGUGAUUAGACAAAAGCUAUA
rnacentral:lncRNA from 1 species